rnacentral:rRNA from 1 species
GAGCUGGUACAUGGCCCGUACCCCAAACCGACACAGGUGGUCAGGUAGAGAAUACUAAGGCGAUCGAGAGAACUGUGGUUAAGGAACUCGGCAAAAUGCCCCCGUAACUUCGGGAGAAGGGGGACCAGUCCUGGUGACGACAUUUACUGUCUGAGCUGGGGUUGGUCGCAGAGACCAGAGAGAAGCGACUGUUUACUAAAAACACAGGUCCGUGCGAAGUCGUAAGACGAUGUAUACGGACUGACGCCUCCCCGGUGCUGGAAGGUUAAGAGGACCGGUCAGCCACUUCGGUGGCGAAGCUGAGAAUUUAAGCCCCAGUAAACGGCGGUGGUAACUAUAACCAUCCUAAGGUAGCGAAAUUCCUUGUCGGGUAAGUUCCGACCUGCACGAAUGGCGUAACGACUUCUCUGCUGUCUCAACCACAGACUCGGCGAAAUUGCAGUACGAGUAAAGAUGCUCGUUACGCGCGGCAGGACGAAAAGACCCCGGGACCUUCACUAUAGCUUGGUAUUGGUGUUCGGUUCGGUUUGUGUAGGAUAGGUGGGAGACUGUGAAACUCGCACGCCAGUGUGGGUGGAGUCAUUGUUGAAAUACCACUCUGACCGUAUUGGACAUCUAACCUCGGACCAUGAUCUGGUUCAGGGACAGUGCCUGGUGGGUAGUUUAACUGGGGCGGUUGCCUCCCAAAAAGUAACGGAGGCGCCCAAAGGUUCCCUCAGCCUGGUUGGCAAUCAGGUGUUGAGUGUAAGUGCACAAGGGAGCUUGACUGUGAGACGUACAUGUCGAGCAGGGACGAAAGUCGGGACUAGUGAUCCGGCGCCGGCAAGUGGAAGCGGUGUCGCUCAACGGAUAAAAGGUACCCCGGGGAUAACAGGCUGAUCUUCCCCAAGAGUCCAUAUCGACGGGAUGGUUUGGCACCUCGAUGUCGGCUCGUCGCAUCCUGGGGCUGGAGUAGGUCCCAAGGGUUGGGCUGUUCGCCCAUUAAAGCGGCACGCGAGCUGGGUUUAGAACGUCGUGAGACAGUUCGGUCUCUAUCCGCCGCGCGCGUAAGAAACUUGAGGAAACCUGUCCCUAGUACGAGAGGACCGGGACGGACGAACCUCUGGUGUGCCAGUUGUUCCACCAGGAGCACCGCUGGUUAGCUACGUUCGGAAGGGAUAACCGCUGAAAGCAUCUAAGCGGGAAGCCUGUUCCAAGAUGAGGUUUCUCACCACCUAGCGUGGUUAAGGCCCCCCACAGACCAUGGGGUUGAUAGGCCAGAACUGUAAGCACAGCAAUGUGUUCAGGUGACUGGUACUAAUCGGCCGAGGACUUCC